rnacentral:rRNA from 1 species
GGGUCAGUAGGUUGGUCGUGCCACCGGUACGUACUGGUCUCACUGAUUCCUCCUUCCUGAAGAACCGUAAUGCCAUUAAUUUGGUGUUGCGGGGAAACAGGACUGUUACUUUGAAAAAAUUAGAGUGUUUAAAGCAAGCUAACGCUUGAAUACAUUAGCAUGGAAUAAUGAAAUAGGACGAUCGAUCCUAUUUUGUUGCUUUCUAGGAUUGACGUA